UUGUCAGUGAUACCUAAUUGUAUCAAAUUUUCUUGUCGGCGCCUUAAUCUUCCUUCUUUUGUCGUUUCCAUCGCUCGUAGCUCGGCUUGCACUAAGCUGCUGUACGACGCAUUCCGCGCGCUUUUACUAGAUCGGCUCUAACUUUGUUAUUUAUUCGAAUUUUCGCAUGCGGCUUUCACCACACAUUCUUAAGAUGUUAAGCUUGAAGAAUAGUAAAAAAAAAAAAAUCGAAAAUUUUGAAAUUUCUCGGUGCGUUUGCCCCCUUAAAGCCUACGACUUUGAACAAAACAAGAGAAAUAAUCAAUAUUUAUUGCAAACGAAAAGAGAAACGUAUUUCUCUAUCCAUAAAGUUGCGAGGUUAAUAAUAUAUCACGAAAUUCAUCGCACAAAAUCUCAUAUGAUAACUUCUGACAGAUUGGAGGUUUUAGCGGACAGUGCAGCAAGGCUUUUUCCCGCUUACUUAAAGGAGACUUUUUAUUGUCGGCCAACUGUAAAUUCCAAUGCUCAUGGUGUCUUUCAGAGUUUUUACAGCGGCUUGCGGGAAAAAGCAAUUGCUAUAAAUAUUAUAACUCUGGCGAAAGGGCGCAAACGAAAAUUAGAUGAAGAUGAAGUACAUUCUUCUGAUUUUAAUGACCUGAAAAAAGCAGUGCACAUUAUCGAUGAUAUAUACAAAAAAAGUGAACUUUAACCGCAGCACAAGAGAAAAUUAAUUUCUUUCAAAAAUCCGAUUACAAUACGAUUUUUGAAGUUCUUCCAAACUUACUAAACCCCCUGGGUUAUACGUUGAUACAGGCCGAUUUUUGUCAUUCUUUUUCGAAAACCGAGAACUUAUUCAAGGACAAGUGGCCGUCUGCAGCUCAGAAGAUUAUAAAAUUAGCUAAAACUAAGAAAAACGAUAAGGAAAUAAAAAAUAUUUUAAAAGAAUAUAAUCCGCAUGUUGGAUGUGCAAAAACUAUUGCACUGCUAUUGUUGCCUUUUUUGUUUAAAAAAAUAACAAAAUUAACAAAACGCUCAAAAACGGGAAAAGCCUGGAAUCCCGAAAAAUCAGAAGUCUUAAGUUCAUUUAUAUACCACUUAAAGAAAACAGAGAAUCUCAACAAUUCUUUAAAAGAGAUAUACACGUCAUUGGAGAAAUUACAUAGUGACCACAAAUUAAAUGUUGCUCUAUUUAUUUUAAUAUAUGGUCCAACUAUAAACGAAAUAGUAUCAGCGUAUGUUGUAAUUGUCAGUCACAUGUACCAAGUAGUCAAUGCUGUAGACGCUGUGGAUUUGUGUUUCCAGGUGAUUAAAGUUUUUAGGAAAAGUUUUUCUCAUGUCUGCAGUCAUGUAUGGUAGUUUUUCGAGCGAGAAGUAUAUGAUUUUAACGUGAAAAAUUUAUACGGAGCU